GUGCCAUAGCUCAGUUGGUAGAGCAAAGGACUGAAAAUCCUUGUGUCCCCGGUUCGAUUCCUGGUGGCACCA
rnacentral:tRNA from 3 species